rnacentral:rRNA from 1 species
UGAGGGUGCCCGAAAGGGAACCUGGACACAGGUGCUGCAUGGCUGUCGUCAGCUCGUGUCGUGAGAUGUUGGGUUAAGUCCCGCAACGAGCGCAACCCUUGCCAUUAGUUGCCACAUUCAGUUGGGCACUCUAAUGGGACUGCCGGUGACAAACCGGAGGAAGGUGGGGAUGACGUCAAGUCCUCAUGGCCCUUAUGGGUAGGGCUUCACACGUAAUACAAUGGCCGGUACAGAGGGCAGCCAACCCGCGAGGGGGAGCUAAUCCCAGAAAGCCGGUCGUAGUCCGGAUUGCAGUCUGCAACUCGACUGCAUGAAGCCGGAAUCGCUAGUAAUCGCGGAUCAGCAUGUCGCGGUGAAUACGUUCCCGGGUCUUGUACACACCGCCCGUCACACCAUGGGAGUGGGUUUCACCAGAAGUAGUUAGCCUAACCGCAAGGAGGGCGACUACCACGGUGAGAUUCAUGACUGG